CCCUCCCCAACAACCAGCCUCCAGCAGCGCUUGGGCACAUGGAGGGCGCGCGGAACGCAGCAGCAGCAGCAGCGUCCCCGGGAGGGGAGCGAGGGCGCGCGCUGCUGCUACUGCUGCUGAGCAAGCGCCCUGCACACGCCCGCACUUCAGCGCGCAACAUUUGCUGCUGCUACUGCUGCUGCAAGGGGGGGGGUUAAAAAAAGGUCCAGCCAUGUGGGUUGGAAGGGGGAGGCGGGGGAUGGAAGAGUGGAUCGAGGCCCUUGGAGGAAACCGUAGUUUCAAACAGGCAAACUCAUGGAUUGCGUCUUCAACGGAAUAUUUCGUGUGUCCAGAUACACAUGCCUCAAUGUCCUCUGGGUUCAGCUGGGUUUGUACAAAGAGGUGAAGUCUACUGUCUGAAAGCAGAAGAGGAUUCUGCAGAAUCCUUUAAAAAAAAUAAAGAGAAAAAAUGAACCACCUUCCGAUAUCAUUUUUUCAACAUUGUCUUCCUUUUAAAAAUAUUUUUAACUUAACUUCCAAUACAGUUUUGAAUCCAGUAUAUAUGUUGGCAUGGUUGGAUGUGUGCUUUUCUUUAAUAAAUUAUUUGGAAUUUUAGGUGAAUAAAAGCAUGGCACUAA